rnacentral:rRNA from 1 species
GAUGAACGCUGGCGGCGUGCCUAAUACAUGCAAGUCGAGCGAACAGACGAGGAGCUUGCUCCUCUGACGUUAGCGGCGGACGGGUGAGUAACACGUGGAUAACCUACCUAUAAGACUGGGAUAACUACGGGAAACCGGAGCUAAUACCGGAUAAUAUAUUGAACCGCAUGAUUCAAUAGUGAAAGACGGCUUUGCUGUCACUUAUAGAUGAAUCCGCGCCGCAUUAGCUAGUUGGUAAGGUAACGGCUUACCAAGGCGACGAUGCGUAGCCGACCUGAGAGGGUGAUCGGCCACACUGGAACUGAGACACGGUCCAGACUCCUACGGGAGGCAGCAGUAGGGAAUCUUGCGCAAUGGGCGAAAGCCUGACGGAGCCACGCCGCGUGAGUGAUGAAGGUCUUCGGAUCGUAAAACUCUGUUAUUAGGGAAGAACAAAUGUGUAAGUAAAUAUGCCCGUCUUGACGGUACCUAAUCAGAAAGCCACGGCUAACUACGUG